rnacentral:rRNA from 1 species
CAGCAGCCACGGGAAUGCGGAGGGUGCAAGCGUUAAUCGGAAUUACUGGGCGUAAAGCGUGCGUAGGCGGUUCGUUAAGUCUGUUGUGAAAGCCCCGGGCUCAACCUGGGAAUGGCAAUGGAUACUGGCGAGCUAGAGUGUGUCAGAGGAUGGUGGAAUUCCCGGUGUAGCGGUGAAAUGCGUAGAGAUCGGGAGGAACAUCAGUGGCGAAGGCGGCCAUCUGGGACAACACUGACGCUGAGGCACGAAAGCGUGGGGAGCAAACAGGAUUAGAUACCCCGGUAGUCCCUGUCUCUUAUAC